rnacentral:rRNA from 1 species
GGAUCAUUACAGAGUUAUCUAACUCCCAAACCCAAUGUGAACCUACCUAUGUUGCCUCGGCGGGAGAAGCCUACCCGGUACCUACCCUGUAGCUACAGGGAACUACCCUGUAGUUGAUGGCGGACCCGCCGGUGGACAUUUUAAAAACUCUUGUUCUACUGUGAUACUCUGAGUAAUAAACUAAAUAAGUUAAAACUUUCAACAACGGAUCUCUUGGUUCUGGCAUCGAUGAAGAACGCAGCGAAAUGCGAUAAGUAAUGUGAAUUGCAGAAUUCAGUGAAUCAUCGAAUCUUUGAACGCACAUUGCGCCCAUUAGUAUUCUAGUGGGCAUGCCUGUUCGAGCGUCAUUUCAACCCUUAAGCCUUAGUUGCUUAGCGUUGGGAGGUUGCCUCUCGCAACUCCCUAAAAUCAGUGGCAAGGACCACGACACCUUGAAGUGUAGUAGUUUAAUUCUCACUUUGGAGGACCGUAGCCCAGCCAUAAACCAACUAUUUUUAAUUAUUGGUUGACCUCGGAUCAGGUAGGAAUACCCGCUGAACUUAAGCAUAUCAAUAAGCGGAGGAAAAGAAACCAACAGGGAUUGCCCUAGUAACGGCGAGUGAAGCGGCAACAGCUCAAAUUUGAAAUCUGGCCUUCGGGUCCGAGUUGUAAUUUGUAGAGGAUGCUUUUGGUGCGGUACCUUCCGAGUUCCCUGGAACGGGACGCCAUAGAGGGUGAGAGCCCCGUACGGUUGGAUACCUAGCCUCUGUAAAGCUCCUUCGACGAGUCGAGUAGUUUGGGAAUGCUGCUCUAAAUGGGAGGUAAAUUUCUUCUAAAGCUAAAUACCGGCCAGAGACCGAUAGCGCACAAGUAGAGUGAUCGAAAGAUGAAAAGCACUUUGAAAAGAGGGUUAAAUAGCACGUGAAAUUGUUGAAAGGGAAGCGCUUAUGACCAGACUUUUGUCCGGCGGAUCAUCCGGUGUUCUCACCGGUGCACUUCGCCGGGCUGAGGCCAGCAUCGAUUUCCGUAGGGGGAUAAAGACUUCAGGAAAGUAGCUCCCUUCGGGGAGUGUUAUAGCCAGUUGUGUAAUACCCCUAUAGGGAUCGA